rnacentral:rRNA from 1 species
GACGAACGCUGGCGGCGUGCUUAACACAUGCAAGUCGAACGGUAAGGCCCUUUCGGGGGUACACGAGUGGCGAACGGGUGAGUAACACGUGGGUGAUCUGCCCUGCACUUUGGGAUAAGCCUGGGAAACUGGGUCUAAUACCGGAUAGGACUACGCGAUGCAUGUCGUGUGGUGGAAAGCUUUUGCGGUGUGGGAUGGGCCCGCGGCCUAUCAGCUUGUUGGUGGGGUGAUGGCCUACCAAGGCGACGACGGGUAGCCGGCCUGAGAGGGUGUCCGGCCACACUGGGGCUGAGAUACGGCCCAGACUCCUACGGGAGGCAGCAGUGGGGAAUAUUGCACAAUGGGCGCAAGCCUGAUGCAGCGACGCCGCGUGGGGGAUGACGGCCUUCGGGUUGUAAACCCCUUUCAGCACAGACGAAGCGUAAGUGACGGUAUGUGCAGAAGAAGCACCGGCCAACUACGUG